rnacentral:rRNA from 1 species
GACGAACGCUGGCGGCGUGCUUAACACAUGCAAGUCGAACGGAAAGGCCCUGCUUUUGUGGGGUGCUCGAGUGGCGAACGGGUGAGUAGCACGUGAGUAACCUGCCCUUGACUUUGGGAUAACUUCAGGAAACUGGGGCUAAUACCGGAUAGGAGCUCCUGCUGCAUGGUGGGGGUUGGAAAGUUUCGGCGGUUGGGGAUGGACUCGCGGCUUAUCAGCUUGUUGGUGGGGUAGUGGCUUACCAAGGCUUUGACGGGUAGCCGGCCUGAGAGGGUGACCGGCCACAUUGGGACUGAGAUACGGCCCAGACUCCUACGGGAGGCAGCAGUGGGGAAUAUUGCACAAUGGGCGGAAGCCUGAUGCAGCAACGCCGCGUGCGGGAUGACGGCCUUCGGGUUGUAAACCGCUUUCGCCUGUGACGAAGCGUGAGUGACGGUAAUGGGUAAAGAAGCACCGGCUAACUACGUGCCAGCAGCCGCGGUGAUACGUAGGGUGCGAGCGUUGUCCGGAUUUAUUGGGCGUAAAGGGCUCGUAGGUGGUUGAUCGCGUCGGAAGUGUAAUCUUGGGGCUUAACCCUGAGCGUGCUUUCGAUACGGGUUGACUUGAGGAAGGUAGGGGAGAAUGGAAUUCCUGGUGGAGCGGUGGAAUGCGCAGAUAUCAGGAGGAACGCCAGUGGCGAAGGCGGUUCUCUGGGCCUUUCCUGACGCUGAGGAGCGAAAGCGUGGGGAGCGAACAGGCUUAGAUACCCUGGUAGUCCACGCUGUAAACGGUGGGUACUAGGUGUGGGGUCCAUUCCACGGGUUCCGUGCCGUAGCUAACGCUUUAAGUACCCCGCCUGGGGAGUACGGCCGCAAGGCUAAAACUCAAAGGAAUUGACGGGGCCCCGCACAAGCGGCGGAGCAUGCGGAUUAAUUCGAUGCAACGCGUAGAACCUUACCUGGGUUUGACAUGGAUCGGGAGCGCUCAGAGAUGGGUGUGCCUCUUUUGGGGUCGGUUCACAGGUGGUGCAUGGCUGUCGUCAGCUCGUGUCGUGAGAUGUUGGGUUAAGUCCCGCAACGAGCGCAACCCUUGUUCACUGUUGCCAGCACGUUAUGGUGGGGACUCAGUGGAGACCGCCGGGGUCAACUCGGAGGAAGGUGGGGAUGACGUCAAGUCAUCAUGCCCCUUAUGUCCAGGGCUUCACGCAUGCUACAAUGGCUGGUACAGAGAGUGGCGAGCCUGUGAGGGUGAGCGAAUCUCGGAAAGCCGGUCUCAGUUCGGAUUGGGGUCUGCAACUCGACCUCAUGAAGUCGGAGUCGCUAGUAAUCGCAGAUCAGCAACGCUGCGGUGAAUACGUUCCCGGGGCU